rnacentral:misc_RNA from 1 species
GAUGAAGAACGCAGCGAAAUGCGAUAAGUAAUGUGAAUUGCAGAAUUUAGUGAAUCAUCGAAUCUUUGAACGCAUAUUGCGCCCGCCAGCACUCUGGCGGGCAUGCCUGUUCGAGCGUCAUUUCAACCAUCAAGCCCCCGGCUUGUGUUGGGGACCUGCGGCUGCCGCAGGCCCUGAAAAGCAGUGGCGGGCUCGCUGUCACACCGAGCGUAGUAGCAUACAUCUCGCUCUGGGCGUGCUGCGGGUUCCGGCCGUUAAACCACCUUCAUAACCCAAGGUUGACCUCGGAUCAGGUAGGAAGACCCGCUGAACUUAAGCAUAUCAAUAAGCGGAGGA